rfam:Macaca mulatta chromosome 8, whole genome shotgun sequence.
AGCUUUGUGCAGUGGCAGCAUUGUAACCAAUGAGGCUUAUCCAAGGCACGAUUAUUGCUAAUUAAAUAUCUUAUUUCU